rnacentral:rRNA from 1 species
AGUGAACGCUGGCGGUAGGCCUAACACAUGCAAGUCGAACGGCAGCACAGUAAGAGCUUGCUCUUACGGGUGGCGAGUGGCGGACGGGUGAGGAAUACAUCGGAAUCUACUUUUUCGUGGGGGAUAACGUAGGGAAACUUACGCUAAUACCGCAUACGACCUACGGGUGAAAGCAGGGGAUCUUCGGACCUUGCGCGAUUGAAUGAGCCGAUGUCGGAUUAGCUAGUUGGCGGGGUAAAGGCCCACCAAGGCGACGAUCCGUAGCUGGUCUGAGAGGAUGAUCAGCCACCCUGGAACCUAGACUCCGUCCCGACUCCUUCCGGCGGCAGCAGGGGGGAAUAUUGGACAAUGGGCGCAAGCCUGAUCCAGCCAUACCGCGUGGGUGAAGAAGGCCUUCGGGUUGUAAAGCCCUUUUGUUGGGAAAGAAAAGCAGCAGGUUAAUACCCCGCUGUUCUGACGGUACCCAAAGAAUAAGCACCGGCUAACUUCGUG